AGAACGAACGCUGGCGGCAUGCCUAACACAUGCAAGUCGAACGAGACCUUCGGGUCUAGUGGCGCACGGGUGCGUAACGCGUGGGAAUCUACCCUUGGGUUCGGAAUAACAGUUGGAAACGACUGCUAAUACCGGAUGAUGACGUAAGUCCAAAGAUUUAUCGCCCAGGGAUGAGCCCGCGUAGGAUUAGCUAGUUGGUGAGGUAAAGGCUCACCAAGGCGACGAUCCUUAGCUGGUCUGAGAGGAUGAUCAGCCACACUGGGACUGAGACACGGCCCAGACUCCUACGGGAGGCAGCAGUGGGGAAUAUUGGACAAUGGGCGAAAGCCUGAUCCAGCAAUGCCGCGUGAGUGAUGAAGGCCUUAGGUUGUAAAGCUCUUUUACCCGGGAAGAUAAUGACAGUAACCGGAGAAUAAGCUCCGGCUAACUCCGCGCCAGCAGCCGC
rnacentral:rRNA from 1 species